UGGGCCUUACCGCCCGCGAGUGGUGCCUGUGCCGGCCAGUGACGAUCAGAAACUCAUAGAGAAGACGACCGACUCGGCCGCCGACGACUUCGGCACCUACCCGGCACUGCAACACCCAACCAGCAACGCUUGCAAUCGGAUUGGGGGCAUGGGCUCUUCGUCAGCGGAUGACCCUCAGACAUCACUGCCGCUGUGUGACAUCCCGUGGAAUCGCCUUUGCGACGCUAGCGCGCACAGCAGCCCACUCAGGCGUCAUUACCAUGCCGAUGAGGUGCCGCCGUCUUCCUCGGUAGUCACAGCAGCGCCGUCCACAGCUGCCUCACAUCGUUACCAACAGCUAGCAGCGCAGCACCUCUAUGGCGCCGCGAGCAGCAUCCCAGCGGCGGUGUUGGCGCCGAGUUCUAUCACACCAGCCACUGGUGGCUCUGGCACUGCCGUCAGGACUGUGCCCUUCUCCAAACUGCGCUACACAGACUCACGUGGCCACCCUCUUCCUAGUGCACACGAGGGCGGGUCUCUGCUGCACGGAGUGAAGCGAGGCGGCGGUAGCGGCGGCCCAGCGCUAGACAACCCCGCCGUAGGCUCUAGCGCACAGCGUGGGGCCGCCACGGAAGGGUGCACUGAAUCGAAUGAGCUGAGCGCACCCAGUACAUCGGCGGUGACGACUGGAGAAGCAUUGCGCUCGUCUUCAGUUCAGGGGCUUGGUGAUGGGCAUUCAACGAGUGCGAUGAAGCGAUCCGCGUCCGCGUGCGAAGCCUCUCAGCUCUCGCCAACGCAGUCGCGGUCGUCGACGGCGGCGCCAUCGUCGAACGCAACCGUCACCGUCACAGCAGAUGAUUGGCCACGGAGUCGCGGCAGUGCGACGCGGCGUCAGCUACAGCGACAGCUCCAGCGGCAACGGUAUCGAUCGUUUCCCUCGCGCAUUACAGCUCCAGCGACAUCCACCGCGGGCAAGCAUCCGCAGCCGCCGCGCACGGCGCACUGGGCGGUGAAGCUGAUCGAGGACUUUGUGACACAGGUGGCGGUGCAGCAAGAGUCGGCGGCGACGGCACUGACGAUUAUGCCGUUCUACAGUGCGGCAAGUGCUUUGGGCAGGAGAGCGACCGCUGGUGGUCGCGACGCCACCACAACAACCACUGUCGCUGACCUCACUGCGACCUUCUUGUCCUCACGCUACGGGGCGCUGCAGUGGCGCCCCAUACUGCACGAGUUUGCUGCCUGUCUGCACCGCUAUCGAAUACUCAGCCCCACAUGCGCGGUGUUCCGCGAGUACUUCAUCCAUGUCGACGCAGAAAACCUCGCCGACUUCCACUUGUUCUGUCGUCUCUACGCCGCUGGCGAUAUUCAGCACUGCUCGACGGUAGAGACGCGGCGUGUGGCGCUCGCGACAGCCGCCGCUGCAACCGUGCACACCAUCGUGUCGCGCCGCUACAUCGACGAACGAGAGGUGGGCGAUCGACUGCAGCGCAUGCUGCAGUAUGUAGUGCUGAUUGACUGCGCACCCUGCAUCGUCGUCGGGGCGGACGGUGGAGCCGCCAGCCGCGCUGCGUCAGGUGUUGUGUCGAUGUCUCGUCAGCCCCGGGUGCGUGUACAGUAUCGUUACGCCCGUGAGCCUCCCGCCCGCGCAAAGUGGGUGCCGCAACGACGACAUCUCACUGCUGACGAAAUCCGCAGGGUCAAGAAGGCGGUGCUUGGUUGGAUGGAAGAGGCGGCUCGCAAGGGCACUUGUGGGCGCGGCUGCGGUGCGGUGGGGCCGUACGAAGCGGUCGAUACGGCAGACGACGCGUGGCCUGAGGCUGCAGAGGGGGUUGAUCUGCAGCGUGUGUCGUUUGACCGCGAGGGCCGGGUGGAUGCGUAUGCGCUGUUGCAGGCGACCCUGGAGGCGGUGAAGCUUGUGUGCUGCAGCCGUCACCCUUCGCCUGCAAGACGCGACGAGGAUGCGGGGCACGUUGACGAUGGCGACGGUGUCGUCAAGCGGAUCGAAAAUGCGCCUGAGCGCUCCCAGCACCUUCAGCAGCAGUAUCGGCCGGUGAAAAACACUGCCCGCAGUCCGCAACUGCUGCGGGAGCUGGUGCCGCCACCGUCGCAGGCGUACAUGUAUCCACUGGAGGAAGUGAACCUGUCUCCCCCGCGGCCUCAGCACCGCAGUUCUGUGCAGAGGCCCACACAGCCCGAAAGCGAAGACGAUGACAGCGCUGAGGCUCGGUGCAUGACACAGACGUGCCAAGAGCCCCCCUCCAUGCCAUCUCGCACGCCGGUCUCCACCGGCGUCUCGGCUUCCCGUGUGUUGGCGGACAGCCUUUUGUUGUCCCCGUCCUGCAACAACGUUGCUUCACAGCUCCGCGGCAGCAGCAGCAGUAGCCGUCAUUCUAGUUCACUGCACCUCUGUCCAUCUGCCGGACAACGAACAUCUCCGCUCUCACCAUGCCGGCGGGUGGCGGCAGCAACGGGGCGCCGUGGUAACUCGCCCGCAAGUCGGGUGCAGCGGCGGGGUCAGAACAAAGGGGAAAGGGAGGUGGAGGAGAGCCGGCCUCGCUCGUCGCGCGACGGGCCCCACCCCCAUCACCCAUACGCGACACAGUUGCACGGCAAUCAGCUGUGGGUGGAGGCACAGCAGGAGGCUGCGGCAGCGUCGCAACGGCGAGACAGCUGCUGGCGCGACCACUACCCGCGCAUCUACCCGCGUGUGCAGCUCACUCCAUCGCCUCGAAAGCCCACCAAUGGCGCAUGCGCAGCGCACGCCGCCUUUGCAUUAUCAUCUUCUCCAGUGGAUGCCACCAGUGACUCCAUCGAUGCGGAGCUGCGCCGACGCCAGGCACGCGGUCGUGGCGGUGACUUGAUCGAGCCGCGGCAGAUGAUGGCCAACUCGGUCGAUCUCUUAUCGCGUGCGCGCCUUGCUGAUGGCCUCCAGCUGCCCAGGCCGUUUUCCCCAGUUGACCCACCAGCUUCCACGGUCACGCACCCUUCGCGCAUUCAUUCUGCCGCGGCGAGGUCGUCAAGCUCUGCAGCUCCCGCGGCACGAGCGAUCCGUGCCGAUGACUGCACAACAGCCAGCUCAUCGCUCGCCGCUCUCUCGCCGCGCACCAUGCCGUCUUCGACGGCUGCUAAGGUCGGUGUCGCCUCUGCCGGGCCUCACGCCAGCCACGAGGACGCGGCAGCCAUGGCGAGCAACACAGUUUUGUUAACCGAUGAAGAGCGAGCAAUGCUGUAUCAGCUGGAGAUCGCCCUGGACCGACUCGACACGCAGCACCAACGCAAUCACGUGACCAUCGCUUCUACUGCGGUGGCUGGUGCGACUGCUGCGAGAAAGGCAUAUUGAUAGAGGCAUCUGUGUGCGUGUGUGUGUUGCUGCUUCGAAGGCACUAAACUGAAUCGGUAGUCAACUGAAUGCACACUUGCCUUCCACAAUGCAGGGUGGUAGUGGUGCGGGUCUUGAGGACAUGGCGACUGGACAGAGGGCCAUGCGAAAGGGGCAUACAUUACCUUUGUGGGAGCGCGCGCAGUCCACCUGUUUCGCUCGCGGGAUCAUCUCUCCGGGUCCCACAUCCGCCGUCUCGUUCUCUCAAGCGAGCGAGGGGCUCAGAAAGAGGAGACUCGACGCAAACAACAGCAACACAAGCUGAAUGCACGAAGCAAAGCCGUUGCACACAACAUACCGCCAGCGGGAGAAGCCAUCGCCCAGAUGAGUCGUGAAUGGGGGAGGGCAGAUGGCAAGGUAAGCAUGACUCCCACGCGUAGGCUGGGAAUCAUCAAGCCCUCGCCCUCUCUUCACAUUCUUUUUGUGGCAUGCACUGAACUCGCCUCUCAGCCUCCGUUUUCGCAGGCGUUGAUGAUGCUGAUGAUGGAUGUGGAUGGCCGCGCUCGUGCCGUGUCCGGCGCGUUUGUUUCUCAGCCUCACUGCUUCCCGUAAAACCACUCCCGCUGGCAUCCACCGUAUCGGCCACUUCUCUCUCUUGCUGCGCAUCGUACCCUUCCCAUCUCCCCUUUCCUCCCGGUCCAACCGCGCGCCAUCUCACUCGCUGCAG
rnacentral:misc_RNA from 1 species